GGUGUAGUGGCCCAGAGGUAGAGCACUUGCUUACCAUGCGUGAGGCACUGAGUUCGAUCCUCAGCACCA
rnacentral:tRNA from 1 species